UGCCUAUUGCUCACUGGGCAGAGCGUGAGACUCGCAAUCUCAAGGUCCUGGAUUCGAGUCCUGCAUCGGAUGAAAG